rnacentral:misc_RNA from 1 species
UUAACUAUUAUAUAGUAAUCAGACGACAUUAAUAAUUAGAGUUGAAGGUUCUUUAGCGGGCACUCACCAGCGCAAGCCGGUGGCUGAGGCGGCCCGCUAAAGCAACAAUGGUAAAAUAACAUAGGGUGGGAGAUCUACCCGUUAGGGCAUGAACUCUGUAAUGAUCCCUCCGCAGGUUCACCUACGGAGA